rnacentral:rRNA from 1 species
UACGUAGGGGGCAAGCGUUGUCCGGAUUUAUUGGGCGUAAAGAGCGUGUAGGCGGCCACACAGGUCAGCUGUGAAAACUCGAGGCUCAACCUCGAGACGUCGGUUGAAACCGUAUGGCUAGAGUCCGGAAGAGGAGAGUGGAGUUCCCGGUGUAGCGGUGAAAUGCGCAGAUAUCGGGAAGAACACCCGUGGCGAAGGCGGCUCUCUGGGACGGUACUGACGCUGAGACGCGAAAGCGUGGGGAGCGAACAGG